rnacentral:rRNA from 1 species
CAGCAGCCGCGGGAAUACGUAGGGUGCAAGCGUUAAUCGGAAUUACUGGGCGUAAAGCGUGCGCAGGCGGUGUUGUAAGACAGAUGUGAAAUCCCCGGGCUCAACCUGGGAACUGCAUUGGUGACUGCAACGCUGGAGUGCGGCAGAGGGGGAUGGAAUUCCGCGUGUAGCAGUGAAAUGCGUAGAUAUGCGGAGGAACACCGAUGGCGAAGGCAAUCCCCUGGGCCUGCACUGACGCUCAUGCACGAAAGCGUGGGGAGCAAACAGGAUUAGAGACCCCUGUAGUCCCUGUCUCUUAUAC